AGAGUUUGAUCCUGGCUCAGAUUGAACGCUGGCGGCAGGCCUAACACAUGCAAGUCGAGCGGAAACGAAGGGAGCUUGCUCCCAGGCGUCGAGCGGCGGACGGGUGAGUAAUGCAUAGGAAUCUGCCCGGUAGUGGGGGAUAACCUGGGGAAACUCAGGCUAAUACCGCAUACGUCCUACGGGAGAAAGCAGGGGAUCUUCGGACCUUGCGCUAUCGGAUGAGCCUAUGCCGGAUUAGCUAGUUGGUGAGGUAAUGGCCCACCAAGGCGACGAUCCGUAGCUGGUCUGAGAGGAUGAUCAGCCACAUCGGGACUGAGACACGGCCCGAACUCCUACGGGAGGCAGCAGUGGGGAAUAUUGGACAAUGGGCGCAAGCCUGAUCCAGCCAUGCCGCGUGUGUGAAGAAGGCUUUCGGGUUGUAAAGCACUUUCAGUGGGGAAGAAUGCCUUGGGCCUAAUACGCCCGAGGAAAGACAUCACCCACAGAAGAAGCACCGGCUAACUCCGUGCCAGCAGCCGCGGUAGUACGGAGGGUGCGAGCGUUAAUCGGAAUUACUGGGCGUAAAGCGCGCGUAGGUGGCUUGAUAAGCCGGUUGUGAAAGCCCCGGGCUCAACCUGGGAACGGCAUCCGGAACUGUCAGGCUAGGUGCA
rnacentral:rRNA from 1 species